UUGGCGUUUAGAGAGGUACUGGAGGUGUGUGACCUUAUUGAUUUGGGGUUCUCUGGGCUCCCCCAUACAUAUGAUAAUAAAAGGCACGGUAACCGGAAUGUGAAGGUCCGGCUGGACCGGGUUGUUGCUGACAAUAGUUGGCGCGACAUAUUCGCUGAAGCUCGUGUGGUGCAUCAAGUGAGCCCAUGUUCGGAUCAUUGUCCUAUUGUACUGAGAUGUGAUAAAGAAGAUCAACGCCAGGGACCAAGGCAAAAAUAGUAUGAAGUAAUGUGGGAGAGGGAUGCAAGCUUACCGGAAAGGGUUCAGCAGGCGUGGGCGUGUGCUGGUGCAAAACAGAACUUGGAUGAUGCUCGGUGUAGUCUUACUGCCCUCAUGGAAGAGCUUCAGGUUUGGAGUAAAGAGACCUUUGGGAGCGUGGUCCGAGAACUUGAAAAAUCGAGGACCCGA
rnacentral:rRNA from 1 species